rnacentral:rRNA from 1 species
GGGACACGUGGUAUCCUGUCUGAAUAUGGGGGGACCAUCCUCCAAGGCUAAAUACUCCUGACUGACCGAUAGUGAACCAGUACCGUGAGGGAAAGGCGAAAAGAACCCCGGCGAGGGGAGUGAAAAAGAACCUGAAACCGUGUACGUACAAGCAGUGGGAGCACCUUCGGGUGUGACUGCGUACCUUUUGUAUAAUGGGUCAGCGACUUAUAUUCUGUAGCAAGGUUAACCGUAUAGGGGAGCCGCAGGGAAACCGAGUCUUAACUGGGCGUUAAGUUGCAGGGUAUAGACCCGAAACCCGGUGAUCUAGCCAUGGGCAGGUUGAAGGUUGGGUAACACUAACUGGAGGACCGAACCGACUAAUGUUGAAAAAUUAGCGGAUGACUUGUGGCUGGGGGUGAAAGGCCAAUCAAACCGGGAGAUAGCUGGUUCUCCCCGAAAGCUAUUUAGGUAGCGCCUCGUGAACUCAUCUUCGGGGGUAGAGCACUGUUUCGGCUAGGGGGUCAUCCCGACUUACCAACCCGAUGCAAACUACGAAUACCGAAGAAUGUUAUCACGGGAGACACACGGCGGGUGCUAACGUCCGUCGUGAAGAGGGAAACAACCCAGACCGCCAGCUAAGGUCCCAAAGUCAUGGUUAAGUGGGAAACGAUGUGGGAAGGCACAGACAGCCAGGAUGUUGGCUUAGAAGCAGCCAUCAUUUAAAGAAAGCGUAAUAGCUCACUGGUCGAGUCGGCCUGCGCGGAAGAUGUAACGGGGCUAAACC